AGAGUUUGAUCCUGGCUCGGAUUGAACGCUGGCGGAAUGCUUUACACAUGCAAGUCGAACGAUGAACCUUAGCUUGCUAAGGGGAUUAGUGGCGAACGGGUGAGUAAUAUAUCGGAACGUGCCUUGUAAUGGGGGAUAACUAGUCGAAAGAUUAGCUAAUACCGCAUACGCCCUGAGGGGGAAAGUAGGGGAUCUUCGGACCUUACGUUAUAAGAGCGGCCGAUAUCUGAUUAGCUAGUUGGUGGGGUAAUGGCCUACCAAGGCGACGAUCAGUAGCUGGUCUGAGAGGACGACCAGCCACACUGGAACUGAGACACGGUCCAGACUCCUACGGGAGGCAGCAGUGGGGAAUUUUGGACAAUGGGCGCAAGCCUGAUCCAGCCAUUCCGCGUGAGUGAAGAAGGCCUUCGGGUUGUAAAGCUCUUUCGCAAGGGAAGAAAACUUACUUUCUAAUAAAGAGUGAGGCUGACGGUACCUUGAUAAGAAGCACCGGCUAACUACGUGCCAGCAGCCGCGGUAAUACGUAGGGUGCGAGCGUUAAUCGGAAUUACUGGGCGUAAAGCGUGCGCAGGCGGUUUGGCAAGUCAGAUGUGAAAUCCCCGAGCUCAACUUGGGAACUGCGUUUGAAACUGCCAGACUAGAAUAUGUCAGAGGGGGGUAGAAUUCCACGUGUAGCAGUGAAAUGCGUAGAGAUGUGGAGGAAUACCAAUGGCGAAGGCAGCCCCCUGGGAUAAUAUUGACGCUCAUGCACGAAAGCGUGGGGAGCAAACAGAAGUAGAUACCCUGGUAGUCCACGCCCUAAACGA
rnacentral:rRNA from 1 species